CACUUUGGUGGCAUAGGUGGCCA
rnacentral:siRNA from 1 species